GUCACUAUGGCUUAAACGGUCCAGUGUGCUGCCCAUGUCCAUAUGGCCAGACUUCUCCAGGGCAAACCCAGCUACAAAGCUUUUUUAAAUUCCUCAAAACUGCGGGGCUCCUGGAUACCAAGCAAAAGGUCAGUCAGUGCUCUCAAGCUUCUAGAGCAAUAAAGGAAGACAGUAGAAUGGGAAGACAUCUUCACCAGCCAGACAAGAUGCCCUGUUACUCACGUAACUUUGUGAUAAUCUGAGAAGUUACUGAAGUGGAGUUCUCCCAGUCAUUUGGAGCAAAAAGAAUAGAAAAGGAGACAACAGCAACAAAUUGUUGGAAACUGGAAAGCUGAAAAGCCAGUGGUAACUAAUUUAGCAGACCAGAGAGAGCUGGGGAAAGCAGAGCAGCAACCAAAUUUACAUCACAGAAGCUGCAAAAGGAAUCAGUGACAAGGUCACCUAUGGAGGUCACAGAACUCUGGCAGCCAGACUGGAAACCCUUCAUACGAGAGAUUGUCUAAAAAAUAUGACAAGGACAAAAGAAAAGACCUAAAAAUGCAGAUGGGUGUAUCCAAGUAACAGCCCAGGUUACCAUGCUGUAAAGAAGCCCAGGCUACAUGGAGAGGACUUGUGUAGGUGUUCUGGCCAGCAGCUCCAGCAGAGAUACAGCUGACAGCUAACAUCAACUACCAGAAGAUGCCUCCAGAUGAUUCCACCUCAGCAGUUAAGUCACCCCCAGCCUUUAAGUCUUCCCAGCUGAGGAUCCAG